rnacentral:rRNA from 1 species
AUUGAACGCUGGCGGCAGGCUUAACACAUGCAAGUCGAGCGAGCGGCGGACGUGUGAGUAAUUUCUGGGAAACUGCCUGAUGGAGGGGGCUAACUACUGGAAACGGUAGCUAAUACCGCAUACCAUCGGAUGUGCCCAGGUGGGAUUAGCUAGUAGGUGGGGUAAAGGCUCACCUAGGCGAAGAUCCCUAGCUGGUCUGAGAGGAUGACCAGCCACACUGGAACUGAGACACGGUCCAGACUCCUACGGGAGGCAGCAGUGGGGAAUAUUGCACAAUGGGCGCAAGCCUGAUGCAGCAAUGCCGCGUGUAUGAAGAAGGCCUUCGGGUUGUAAAGUAAUUUCAGCGGGGAGGCGUUACCCGCAGAAGAAGCAACGGCUAACUCCGUGCCAGCAGCCGCGGUAAUAC